UUGACUGCAUCAUUGGAUUGUGCAAGGUAUCUCAUAGUUCAAGGGGAAGCUUUUCGUGGAUAUGAUGAAUCUUCCAAUUCCACCAACAAAGGCAAUUUCAGGGAGUUCUUGGACUGGUAUAAGGACAAGAAUAAGGAUGUGAAAGAUGCAUUUGAUAAGGUGCAAGGGAAUGCACUUAUGAUAUGUCCAGAUAUUCAAAAGGACCUUGCUACAUGUUGUGCAUUGGAGGUAACCAAAGUCAUCAAGGAUGAGCUUGGAGAUAAGAAUUUCUCGAUACUUAUUGAUGAGGCUAGAGAUUGCUCAAUAAAGGAACAAAUGGCAAUAAUUUUGAGAUUUUUAGAUGAUCACGGAGAGCUUCAAGAGAGAUUUCUUGCUAUUAAGCACAUCACAGAUUGUACAUCUGCUAGAAUUAAAGAAGCACUGGUUCAUGUGUUGGAGUACCAUGGCCUGCUUGUUAAUAGGCUACGUGGACAGGGUUACGACGGGGCUUCAAAUAUGAGAGGAGAAUUCAACAGUUUGCAAAAGCUAAUUCGUGAUGAGAGUCCAUAUGCUUUCUUUGUUCACUGCUUUGCCCAUCAGUUGCAGCUAGUGGUUGUCACAGUGGCUCAGUGUUGUCCAGUUAUUGCUGAUUUUUUCAACUACCUUCCCUUGAUAGUGACUCAGGUGGGUUCAUCUUGCAAAAGGAAGGAUGCAUUACUUGCAAAGAAUCAAGACAACUUGAUAGAAAUGAUGGAAAAUUGUAAGAUAUCAUAUGGAACUGGGUUACAUCAAGAAACUAACCUAGCUAGACCAGGAGCUACUUGUUGGGGCUCACAUCUUAGAACCUUGCUUUGUAUGUAUACAAUGUGGAAUGCAGUGGUGGAUGUGCUUGCAAUUGUGGUCAAUGAUGCCCGGGAACACACUUCUCAAGGUGGAGCUUCAGGUUUGAUCAUAUCGAUGGAAUGCUUCCAGUUUGUGUUCAUCAUGCUAUUCUUAAUAAACUUUUUGAGCAUCGCUAAUUUGCUAUCACAAGCUUCGCAAAGAAAGAAACAAGAUGUUGUUGAAGCCAUGCGUUUGAUCUUGGAUGUGAAAGAAGCUUUGCAAAAUAUGAAGGACAAUGGGUAUGAUUCAUUAUGUGACCAAGCAAACAACUUCUGUGGGGAACAUGGCAUUGAGGUGCCAAAUAUGGAUUAUCUUGUUAGAGCUAUGGGGCAAUCUGUUCGCAGCAAGAAUAAGGUGACUUGACAUCAUUAUUUCAAGGUUAGCAUAUUCAAUGUUGCUCUUGAUGCAACUCUCACCAAGAUGAAUCACCGAUUCAAUGAAGUUAACACCGAGUUAGUGGAAUGCAUGUCUUGCCUUACACCAACAAACAACUUCUCAAAGUAUAAUGUUGAAAAACUUAUUCGACUUGCUGAAAUUUAUGCUGAGGAUUUUACACAAGCCUUGCUCGGUUGA
rnacentral:rRNA from 1 species